AUUGAACGCUAGCGGGGUGCUUUCCACAUGCAAGUCGAACGAGUGGCGGACGGGUGGGUAAUAUAUCGGAACGUGCACAGUCGCGGGGGAUAACUACUCGACAGAGUGGCUAAUACCGCAUACUAUUGGUGCGGCCGAUCUCGGAUUAGCUAGUUGGUGGGGUACAGGCUCACCAAGGCCACGAUCCGUAGCUGGUUGGAGAGGACGACCGGCCACACUGGGACUGAGACACGGCCCAGACUCCUACGGGAGGCAGCAGUGGGGAAUUUUGGACAAUGGGGGAAGCCCUGAUCCAGCCAUCCCGCGUGUAUGAGAAGGCCUUCGGGUUGUAAAGUACUUUUGUCAGAGAAGCGGUAUCUGCAGAAUAAGCAACGGCUAACUACGUGCCAGCAGCCGCGGUAAUUC
rnacentral:rRNA from 1 species